rnacentral:sRNA from 1 species
UGAUCCUCGAUGGUAACUCUGUAGCUUUUAGAGCCUUUUAUUUUUUCUAUGAAAGUGGAGG